UACGGAGGGUGCAAGCGUUGUUCGGAAUCCCUGGGCGUAAAGGGCGUGUAGGCGGUCCGCUAAGUCUGAUGUGAAAGCCCGGGGCUCACCCCCGGAAGGGCAUUGGAAACUGGCGGACUCGAGUCCCGGAGAGGAAGGUGGAAUUCCUGGUGUAGCGGUGAAAUGCGUAGAUAUCAGGAGGAAUACCGGUGGCGAAGGCGGCCUUCUGGACGGUGACUGACGCUGAGACGCGAAAGCGUGGGGAGCAAACAGG
rnacentral:rRNA from 1 species